rnacentral:rRNA from 1 species
CCUACGGGCGGCUGCAGUGAGGAAUAUUGGUCAAUGGGCGCGAGCCUGAACCAGCCAAGUCGCGUGAGGGAAGACGGUCCUAUGGAUUGUAAACCUCUUUUGUCGGGGAGCAAAAGACGCCACGCGUGGCGUUCCGAGAGUACCCGAAGAAAAAGCAUCGGCUAACUCCGUGCCAGCAGCCGCGGUAAUACGGAGGAUGCGAGCGUUAUCCGGAUUUAUUGGGUUUAAAGGGUGCGCAGGCGGAAGAGCAAGUCAGCGGUAAAAUUGAGAGGCUCAACCUCGUCGAGCCGUUGCAACUGGUGUUCUUGAGUGAGUGAGAAGUAUGCGGAAUGCGUGGUGUAGCGGUGAAAUGCAUAGAUAUCACGCAGAACUCCGAUUGCGAAGGCAGCAUACCGGCGCUCAACUGACGCUCAUGCACGAAAGUGUGGGUAUCGAACAGGAUUAGAUACCCCUGUAGUC